ACCUGAUUUUUAUGCCAGGUGGUAUUUCUCGAUCUGUUUGAUGUGAAUUUUAAUUGACUUUUGUUUACUUCAUCCUUUUGAUGUGAAUUUUAAUUAUAGGUAUUUCUCGAUCCGUUUGAUGUGAAUUUUAAUCUAACUCAGGUUUGUUAAGGGAACCAGACCAUAUAUGUUCCCUGUUCUGUGUUGGCUAGAACAUCUUGGGGGAGAGGUAUGCAUUAGAUGAUAUUGGUUCUGGAUCUCAUGUGCAUCUCAGUUUGUGUCAGAGUUGAACCCAUAUGAAUAGGU